CUUCUUUCACUCUGUCACCACCAAAGGCAGGCAGGCUGAGGAGUCUGCAGAGGGAGCCGAAGGACAGGGGCCUGUGGGAAUACCCUGAGCAGGCCAGAGUGGGGUUGCCAUGAUAGACUCAGGGCAGGUCUGAGAGGCGGCUGACUUUUGAGGUCAUCGGAAACUCUGGGCUAGAGUUGGGUAAGUAAGGAGCAAAGGCUGCUUUCCUCUACCACACCCCACUUCUAGCCUUGUAAAAAGCUAUAGGUCUGUAAGGAGUGUGGGGUUUCUUUUUAGGGUAAUGGAAAUGUUAUAAAAUUGAUUUUAUUUGGGGUGAGUGAACAACUCUCUAAAUAUAUAAAAACCACUGAGGCAGCCGGGCCCGGUGGCUCACGCCUGUAAUCCCAGCACUUCGGGAGGCCGAGGUGGGCAGAUCACAAGGUCAGGAGAUCGAGACCAUCCUGGCUAACACGGUGAAACCCCAACUCUACUAAAAAUACAAAAAAUUAGCCGGGCGUGGUGGUGGGCGCCUGUAGUCCCAGCUACUCUGGAGGCUGAGGCAGGAGAAUGGCAUGAACCCUGGAGGCGGAGUUUGCAGUGAGCCGAGAUCAUGCCACUGCACUCCAGCCUGGGCAACAGAGCGAGACUCUGCCUGAAAACAAACAAACAAACAAACAAACAAACAAACCACUGAGGCUGGUGUGGUGACUCAGGCCUGUAAUCCCAGCACUUUGGGAGGCCGAGGUGGGUGGAUCACCUGAGGUCAGGAGUUCAAGACCAGCCUGGCCAACAUGGUGAAACCCCAUCUCUACUAAAAACACAAAAAUUAGCCAGGCUUGGUGGCGUGUCUGUAAUCCCAGCUACCCAGGAAGCUGAGGCAGGAGAAUAGCUUGAACCCGGGAGCCAGAGGUUGCAGUGAGCCGAGAUUGUGCGGCUGCACUCCAGCCUGAGCAACAGAGGGAGACUGUCUCAAAAAAAAAAAAAAAGCCACUGAAUUGUGCACUUCAAAUGAGGACGAGUGAGAGGGUGAAGAAGGCAUCCACAUGGUGGGGAAGGAAUGGGAGCAGAAAUGGGAGCUUGGUUACUGAAAGGGGAGUGAUCCAAUAAGUAAGUAUUUAAGGAUCAUGGGAGUCAGAGAAGGGCCUUAGAGAUGCUACUCCCUAGCACCAACGAGCACACUGACGACUCAGACCUCGGUUUCUUUCUUUUGAAAAAAUUUGUUUUUUUGAGACAGGGUCUCACUCUGUG
rnacentral:lncRNA from 10 species